rnacentral:rRNA from 1 species
UUGAAGCCUAGCGAUAUGUAAGUUAGUGGCGGACGGGUGAGUAACGCGUGGGUAACCUGCCUUGUACUGGGGGACAACAGUUGGAAACGACUGCUAAUACCGCAUAAGCGCACGGUACCGCAUGGUACAGUGUGAAAAACUCCGGUGGUGUGAGAUGGAUCCGCAUCUGAUUAGCUAGUUGGUGAGAUAACAGCCCACCAAGGCGACGAUCAGUAGCCGACCUGAGAGGGUGACCGGCCACAUUGGGACUGAGACACGGCCCAAACUCC